GAGUGCUGGGUGAAAUAUUCCGUUUGUUUGAGGUGCUUUUUAGUAAUUUCGGUGUUGUCUUUGGAGACCUGCUUAUUACUCGCACUGAUGCUCAUCUCGUUAUCUCGGUGGUCCGGCUCGUCAGCUGUGACGCAAUAAAAAUACCCCGAAAUUAAAACUAACAGAGAAUUAGUUUCAAAUUAGUCUUUUAUAUUUUGCUACAUUGAUACUGAAAGUAUCUAGCGAGAGUGUCUGUCUGGGUGAACACCUUUUGGGGCUGUAACCAAUGAGCUUCUUGUCGCACUGGUUUACCUGCAUUUUUGAUUGUUGAACAAUAAUCACAACAUGAAGUAGUGUCUUGCACCUUGAAA